AGUGGUCUAGUUUCUGUUUGCGUUCCAGCUGGGGACUCUUCUGAUGGGAACCACCUGUUCCUGGUCUUUGCGCGCUUUGGAUUUCCCCAGUCCUUCAGUCCUUUCAGUUUUGAAAUGAAACCUGCUCUCCUGGCUAAGGUCAGGUCCAAGAGGACUUUGACAGUUCACACCGACUUGUUUUUUCUUAGAGCCAGCUGAAAAAAGGUUGUCCUGUCCAUUCUGUCCCUUUUGCUGUACCCAUGGUGACUGCAUCAGCCUGAGAAGACUGUGAUGUUACGUCUCUGCUUGAGAUGUUAGGGGACUGGAGAUGGCUCAGCAGUUAAGAGCUUUGGCUGUGGCUUGGGAGAAAACAAGGCUUGAAGAGGAGCAGGCGAGGCUGAGUCAGUGACUCCAGAGUGGAAACAUGGUCUGGUAACACCACGCUUCCGGAUGUGAUUGUGGAGCUGGAUUGCUUAACCUGGGCUAAGUCAUUUAUCUUCCUGUGUCCCUCAGUUCUUCAUGGGCUGCAGAAGUGUUAAGAGUGCCUGCUUGUCUUCGAGAGGACCAGAGAUCAAUUCCCAGCAUCCAUCCCUGGAAGCUACAGGGAAUUCAACACUCUUCCUGACUUCCUCAAACACCUGCACACAUAUGGCUUAUAGACACACAGGGAAAGAAGUAAAGGAAAUCUUAAAAACAG
rnacentral:lncRNA from 1 species